UGCACUCACUACUGUAAUUCGCUCUGGAUAAGAGCACUGCUAAAUGACUAAAA
rfam:Salmo salar isolate Sally breed double haploid chromosome ssa04, whole genome shotgun sequence.